GACGAACGCUGGCGGCGUGCUUAACACAUGCAAGUCGUACGGUAAGGCCCUUUCGGGGUACACGAGUGGCGAACGGGUGAGUAACACGUGAGUAACCUGCCCACAACUUUGGGGUAACGCUAGGAAACUGGUGCUAAUACUGGAUAUGUGCUCCUGCUGCAUGGUGGGGGUUGGAAAGCUCCGGCGGUUGUGGAUGGACUCGCGGCCUAUCAGCUUGUUGGUGGGGUAGUGGCCUACCAAGGCGGCGACGGGUAGCCGGCCUGAGAGGGUGACCGGCCACAUUGGGACUGAGAUACGGCCCAGACUCCUACGGGAGGCAGCAGUGGGGAAUAUUGCACAAUGGGCGCAAGCCUGAUGCAGCAACGCCGCGUGCGGGAUGACGGCCUUCGGGUUGUAAACCGCUUUCAGCAGGGACGAAGCUUUUUGUGACGGUACCUGCAGAAGAAGCACCGGCUAACUACGUG
rnacentral:rRNA from 1 species